UGGGGAAUUUUGGACAAUGGGGGAAACCCUGAUCCAGCCAUCCCGCGUGUGCGAUGAAGGCCUUCGGGUUGUAAAGCACUUUUGGCAGGAAAGAAACGUCAUGGGUUAAUACCCCGUGAAACUGACGGUACCUGCAGAAUAAGCACCGGCUAACUACGUGCCAGCAGCCGCGGUAAUACGUAGGGUGCAAGCGUUAAUCGGAAUUACUGGGCGUAAAGCGUGCGCAGGCGGUUCGGAAAGAAAGAUGUGAAAUCCCAGAGCUCAACUUUGGAACUGCAUUUUUAACUACCGGGCUAGAGUGUGUCAGAGUGAGGUUGCAUUCCGCGUGUAGCAGUGAAAUGCGUAGAUAUGCGGAGGAACACCGAUGGCGAAGGCAGCCUCCUGGGAUAACACUGACGCUCAUGCACGAAAGCGUGGGGAGCAAACAGG
rnacentral:rRNA from 1 species